rnacentral:rRNA from 1 species
UACGUAGGGUGCAAGCGUUGUCCGGAAUUAUUGGGCGUAAAGAGCUCGUAGGCGGUCUGUCGCGUCUGCUGUGAAAACUCGGGGCUUAACCCCGAGCCUGCAGUGGGUACGGGCAGACUAGAGUGCGGUAGGGGAGACUGGAAUUCCUGGUGUAGCGGUGAAAUGCGCAGAUAUCAGGAGGAACACCGGUGGCGAAGGCAGGACUCUGGGCCAAUACUGACGCUGAGCAGCGAAAGCUUGGGGAGCAAACAGG